AUACUUACCUGGCAGGGGAGAUACCAUGAUCACGAAGGUGGUUUUCCCAGGGCGAGGCUUAUCCAUUGCACUCCGGAUGUGCUGACCCCUGCGAUUUCCCCAAAUGUGGGAAACUCGACUGCAUAAUUUGUGGUAGUGGGGGACUGCGUUCGCAUUA
rnacentral:snRNA from 1 species